GUCUUUUUAAUAUAAAAAGUAUAGUUGGCUUCCAACCAACAAGUCUAAAAUUUUUAGAAAAGGCA
rnacentral:tRNA from 1 species